rnacentral:rRNA from 1 species
CGCGUAGGCGGCCUUGCGUGUCUUCCGUGAAAUCCCUCGGCUCAACUGAGGACGUGCGGAAGAAACUGCAGGGCUCGAGUCCGGGAGAGGGGGGUGGAAUUCCCAGUGUAGCGGUGAAAUGCGUAGAUAUUGGGAGGAACACCGGUGGCGAAGGCGGCCCCCUGGACCGGUACUGACGCUGAGGCGCGAAAGCGUGGGGAGCAAACG